rnacentral:rRNA from 1 species
AUGAUUGUGACCUCCUCUGAUAAACUCGUGCACAUUCAAGAACCCAAGUUGGGAACGACUGACGCUGCUACUAUCAUUUACUUUGGCAACGUCAGGCUGAGGAACUUUCCAGUCACACCGGCCCUUGGUACUAGGGGUGGUAUUUUGCUUUUCUGGAACAACAACAUGCUCGACGCUUCUGGCAUCACCAGCGAGGUGUUCCAUCUAUCAACUAUGAUCGAGAUCAAGCUGACUACAGCCUAUGGACCCAUGACCUAUCUUCGGAAAGAUGGUUCUUUUGCAGAGCUCCUCGCCCACAAACUUUGUCUUGGUGUCAUGUGGUUAGUCACAAGUGAUGAAUUUAACCAAAGUUAUAGAGCACGAUGCAAAAACAGGAGGCACACUAAUAUUUUGCACGUCACUCGCUUAUGUGGUACUCUUGAUCCAUGCGAGGUUAAAGAGAUCCACCUGCAGAAUAGGAAGUUCACUUCACGUAAUGAGCGGCAGUAUCCGAGCCUAUGCAAGCCAGAUAGCUAUUUCCGAAACACCGAUUGGGAUCUUCAUUUUGAAAAUCAUGUGCUCACUGCCCCCUCGUCCUCCCUAUCAGAUUAUCGUCCCUUGUUUCUUGCUAGUGACCAUGGUCUGAAAUAG